rnacentral:lncRNA from 1 species
GCUCCUCAGCUGCCAUUCUCAGCUUGAGGCCAUAGUCUUAGGAAGUGGAGAUGAAAAAUAGCCAGUAGGUUAGCAGGAGAUGGAGAAGAAAGAACAGCUGGAGGCAACUGUUGGCUGGGCUUCUAAUUGUAAGGGGGUCCCACCACAGGCUUUUCUCUGAAGUUGGGUCAGCUGUGCAGACGGGAAGUGAGGGGGAGUUAACAUCCCAGAGGAAUGGCUGGACAAGGGCUCCACUGGCCUUCAGAGAAACAGUCCUGUGGGAUGCUGCCCUGGGUACUCCUGGCAGCAGAUGGGUCAAGAGCACGUCAGCCUCGGUCCUCUGCCUUCUCUGUCUAAUUCUCUCUGUUCCAGCAUCCCUGAAUCUUGGGGUCACAUUCCCACCUCUUCUAUCCACAUUUGGGUCUGACCUGGGCUUCUCAGAGAGAGCACCAGCUGCUACCUUCCAGUCUUGUUCCCUUUCAAUGUAGAAAUACAGAAAUAGCUAGCCAGUGAUUAAAUUAACACAGUCUAUUGCAGAAUACUGUAAAGCACUGCAAAUCUCACUCCUAGCACGGAGAAGAGCCACCACCUGCCCACACACCUUAGUUUCUGCACUUUUCCUCUGCUUGUCCCUCCCCCACGUUUCAAAUAGGUGGACCCAGAUGAGGAUGGACUCAGAUGAGGAUGGAAGGAACAUGAGGUAAGAGAAUAAUUCUAUAAAAUGGGCCCACUGUGUCGACCCCACAUGCUUUCUUUGCCAAAAAGCAAUUGACCUGCAGCUCUGCCUGGCCUAAGUGGUUGGGAUAUGUCACAUUCCUCGGCAAAGCACAUGUCAAUCUGCAAGGAAAUGCUGGCAGGAAAUAAGAGGAACCAAGUUACUUUGAAGGGAGAGACUUUUGUUACCCUUUUCAUGGAUCAGAUUCUAGAAGAAAAGGAUAAUUUCUCCUAACCAUAAAAUCUGUAAAAAUGAUUGGGAAUCCAAUUAGAACCGCUCAGCAUGGACUAAGGGGACCAAGAAUUCUCAUGGCAAUAGGUGCUUGAAAGUCUGAUGUCCUCUUGCUGUCAGUCAGAAGUCAAGAGGUGGGCCUGGGCAGCACCCUCUGGAAACUUCUCUGGGAUUUCCCCAAUAAAACUGGAGUGGGAGAGGGGCACAUUGUCCCUCUCUGAAAGGACCCGCUGUGUCCCUUGGUAGUAUCCCUUUUCCCUUUUCCUAUCCCUUCAAUAAACUCAUCUCUGUUAUUCUGAAUGACAUGUCUGAAACCUUUCUGACUUGAUGGCAAGAACUGCGGUUUGACGGGGUUGGGGGACCGUCUUCGCGGUGCCUCAGUUUCUUGAAAGUUCCCAGCCCUGUAACAGGUGUAAAUCUCCGCUGUGGUCUCAUUACUCAGAGAUGCAUUCAGGUUGACGCUCAGAUCAACCCUUGGAUGUUUCUAGGUCUCCACCUCCCUUGCUUUCUCCUCUGGGUGGGUUUGAAAGAGAACUCCCGAGUCACAGACCAUGAGAACUCACUUAAAAGACUGUUGAAGGGCCG